rnacentral:rRNA from 1 species
UACAGAGGGGGCAAGCGUUAUUCGGAAUUAUUGGGCGUAAAGGGCGCGUAGGCGGCUUGGCAAGUGGAAGGUGAAAUCCCUCGGCUUAACCGAGGAACUGCCCUCCAAACUGCUUCGCUUGAGACCGGGAGAGGUGAGUGGAAUUCCCAGUGUAGCGGUGAAAUGCGUAGAUAUUGGGAGGAACACCAGUGGCGAAGGCGGCUCACUGGACCGGUAUUGACGCUGAGGUGCGAAAGCGUGGGGAGCAACAGGA